rnacentral:rRNA from 1 species
UACGUAGGGUGCGGAGCGUUGUCCGGAAUUACUGGGCGUAAAGAGCUCGUAGGUGGUUUGUCGCGUUGUCCGUGAAAAACUCACAACUCAAUUGUGGGCGUGCGGGCGAUACGGGCAGACUGGAGUACUGCAGGGGAGACUGGAAUUCCUGGUGUAGCGGUGGAAUGCGCAGAUAUCAGGAGGAACACCGGUGGCGAAGGCGGGUCUCUGGGCAGUGAACUGACGCUGAGGAGCGAAAGCCAGGGGAGCAAACGGG